GAAGCUAAAUCCUCAAACAGGUACACCAAGGAAAGAUUUUCUUUCAUAAUAAAGGAAGUUAAAUGGUUAAAAUACUUACAUAAGAUAGUUAACACUAAUAAUAGAUAUGGUACUCAUGGUAAAACUUUCAAUAGCUGCACUUCAAAUAUUAGAGGCUCCUUCAUGUGAGACAUAAGGCUACGCCUUGGUCCAAACUCUUCAGGUACUGGUUUUAGGUUUUCACUGAUGUAUCCAACGGAAGGUGGUAUCAAUGCUCUUCGUUUUCCUCCGGGCUUCAUUCCAAUAAGGACUUCCUUCAGACCUUCUAUUAUCUUCAGAAUUUCUAUUUUAAGCCCAAAGCUAGCAAAUACCAUGACCUGUUUAUCAUCCAGAGGAAGUAUGACAGGGGCACUCUCUCCGCUGAACUGGUCCACGGUACUGUGGACAAAAUAUCCAUUUGAUCGUCGGCAUACAUAAUUAAUUUCAACGAUAUCCCCUUCACGAGCCUCUGGUCCUUCCCCUUCAACAACAUCUUGUAGCCUCACUCCACUAUC
rnacentral:misc_RNA from 1 species